UACGGAGGGUGCGAGCGUUGUCCGGAAUCAUUGGGCGUAAAGGGCGCGUAGGUGGCACGAUCAGCGUGCGGUGAAAGCUCGGGGCUCAACCCCGGGUCGGCCGUGCGAACUAUCGAGCUGGAGCACUGUAGAGGCAGGCGGAAUUCCGGGUGUAGCGGUGGAAUGCGUAGAGAUCCGGAAGAACACCGGUGGCGAAGGCGGCCGUGCUGGGCAGUUGGCUGACACUGAGGCGCGACGAGCGUGGGAGCAACAGGAUUGAGAACCCAGAGGUAGUCCA
rnacentral:rRNA from 1 species